ensembl:lncRNA
AUGUCCUCAGAGACCCAGGCUCUUUCUGACUCCAAGGCUGCCAUCCAGUGUUGGCCUCAUUCUAAACAAGGCUCCUCUCAGAGUCACAGGAUGCAGCCAGAGCAAUCAAGGCUCCUGGCUUCCCUGUUCACAUCUAGUGAAGAUAGAAACGGCUCUUUCUGUGGCUUUCUCUCUAGUCCAAGCAGACAGGUUCCCAGAAGCCCCAGCAACCUUCCCCUGAAUCUCAUUGAGCUAGAUUGGUUACAAGUUCAUUUCUGCACCAAUGACUGCCAAGCUCCAUUCCAGGGACGCCACACGCUCCAACUAUGGUCAGUGAGAUCCAAGAGGAGGCUGCUGUGAGGCUCCCUGAGUGUUUCCGUUUUCUUGCUGGAGAUGCUUCCAUCCCACUUCCUCCUUGCUGACUGUAGAUGUGGUGACUGCGGUGCUGCAGCGAUUGUGAGGCCACAAUGGCAGGCCCAAGGUGUAGCAGGAACCCCAGCCUGCGGCCGGCAGAUGCCUACCUAAUUCAGACUUAUUAUGGGGGAGACCAAACCCUUACUGGAUGAAGCCAUUGUGACGGCCAGGACAAUGCACCCCUCAGGUCUCCGGCUUCAGGGAGCACAAUAGAUGGCCUUGUUUCCACUCCUCUGGCUUCACCACCACAUUAAUGCUAAGACCAUGCUUUCCACAGGCUGCUGCUGAUCAGUGACUCAGCGCAGCCAGUGCAGUUUAUUAUUCCCGUGAGGCACAGGGACCCACCAAUGGGCAACACUGCAUCAAGGACUCCCAUCAGUUUGGCCAGAAUCUCUCGGACCUGCACUGCAAUCUAAGACAUUCUACUCCAUCCUCCUUCCUCAGCACCAUGGCCUGAAGGCUCUCUCUGCCUUCUCCGGCCAUUUCCUUUUUAUGCUUCACCAGCACUGCUCCAAUAAAUUGCUUGCACAUCUAAGCCUGUCUUGGCGCUUUCCUCUCAUGGGACCCAAAUUAAUGCAGCCAUGGUGGCUUUUUUUUUUUUUUUUGGUUACUUGUGAUCACGAGUUUUCCCAACUGAGAUGGCUCCAGAAGGCCCCUAUUUUAAGAAUAGAAAUAUUUGUGAGAAAGUAAAUCAUUAGUUGAGAUUUUAAAGUGCCAAAAAAAAAAAAAAAAAAAAAUUUCACACUUUUUCCUUCCAGAUUCUGAACUAAAUAUGAAACAGAUCUACGAGUCAGUUUAGGGAUCAAAACACCAAUUUUAUUACUGCAAACCUGGACCUGAAGCCAAAAUGUCUGUCCCAUGACUUUCCACUGAAUUGAUUUUUCCCUUCUAAGCUCAUACAGCAGCCGAAGGAUGGCAGGCUUCUACACACUGUCCCCGUCCCUGCUCCGGGUCAGAGCCUUGCAGCCAGUCACCUCCAAGAGAGAGGGCCCAAGGAGAGAAAACAAUGCCCAGGGGAGUAGAGAUGUUUUAGAGUUAACCCCACCCUGCAGGGAAAUGUGGGCUAGUAAGGCACCUCUUGCCAUGCCCCUAAUCAGCCAAAUCACUCUUUUUCCCCCAGGGUGGAUCUGGUGGGAGGUUCAGAGAAAGUAGAAAUUUCCAAGGCUUUAGAGAAGUAGAAAUUCUUGUUUCAGGAGCAAGCAAGAUUGAGGAGGGGACAGAGAGAGGGAGAGGAUGCAUCCUCCUUCAUAAAGAUAUUUGUGCAUUAAAUAGUUGUUAAAUAAAAUGGGGGAGAGGAAAUGCUGAUGGCUCACCCUGCCCCGAAGCAGCCAGCAGUUCAGUGGGGCAGAUAAGACGCGCUCAGGAAUGAGUCUGAUGCCAGACACAGUCAUCACUUUAUAGCCGCGAUGCAGACAAAUGCCACGGCUUUUAUUGUGCGUACAGAUUUUUUUUUUCUGUCCUGAUUUUCCUGUUGUCCUGGUUUAUUCUCAUGUUAAUUUCAAAUUUCAUCUUAUCUUUAUGUGUUUCUGUGAACCACUGUGAAUCCUUCCUGGAAUAAAGUGUGUGAUUGUAUAACUAAAUAUAUAAGCAAUUCAUGUAUAUGCAUGCAUGAUGUACGUGAGGUCUUUAGGUCUUUAGGGUCAGGCUGUUUUAGUAUUUCCCACUAUGUGACCUUGGGCAAGUCUGAGCCUACGUUUUCUCAUCUGUAAAAUGGGCAUAAUAACAAGAUUUACCCCAAGGUACAGAAGAGGUCUUCAGAGAGCUAGCCCAUGCAAUGCCUUGCUUAAGUGCCUAGCACACAGUGAAGCCUCUGCAAAUGCUGGUUUGGGUUCCUAUGAUCGCAGGCAUACUCUGGUGUCUAUCCCCCUCCCAAGGAUUCCUGCCUGCAGGGGAGAGAGGCAGAUUUCCAGGAGAUGGCACAUGAGCAACAAUUUUUGUCACAUCAUUGAUGGAUGUUGGACCAGACUGGCCAGAGGAGAAAAGCCGGUCUUGAGCGAGUGACUGCGGGAAGAGUGGAUCAAGGGUAUUUUCCGGGAAAGGCAGGAGAAUGUGUAUUUCCCUGGGGACAGGUGCCGGCAGGGUGGGUUUCCACGGAGACCCCCGU